GGCAUUCAGCCCAACAAGACUCGAGUUUCCCGCCAAAAUAGUCUAGCGCCAAGGAAACCCAACCCUAAAAUUGGGGCUAGAUAGCAGAAUUGAAGAGAAGAAAGCAUCAAUGGCGCCUCCCUCAUCUGCAAGUUCGGGUGAAGAUUCAUCAACCCCGGACACCACCCAAAGCCAGCUCCAGCAUAGUUUCCUUCUCCACAAAGCAUCUGAUAAAUUAAUUUCAAGUGGCAAAGCCCGGAGGAGGAGGAGGAGUAUUGAUCUGUCCCCCACAAAGACCGACGACGACGACAAGAAGCAAUCCGAUGAUGAACGCUGGUUGAGAAUGGAAGCUUUUCAGUUAGUUUGGUCAAGAAUUGAAUCCACUAUCAACCAUGUUCUGCGGAAUAUCAAUGCUCGGGUUUUCGAUCACAUACGCCGCUGGGUCUGGGAUUCCUUCAAUGCUAUCAAACCGCUUGCCACCAUUUCUCCUGGCCCUUUUCCUCUUGUCAGCCAAGUUACCUGUACACAGCUCUUCACUGGGCUCCUUCUCACCAAUAAUAUGGAGUUUGUUGAUGAUAUUUCGACAUUUCAAGAGCUGGGCCUCUGCUUGAAAUCCCAUGGAUGCCAUGUGGCUAACCUUUCCUCCUUCGACUUUUCAUCCAAGAAUGGGAUCGCUGGCUGUCUCACAAGUUUAUUGAGACAGUUUCUCAUGUCUACUUUUGAUGCUGCUGAUAUGUCCAUACUGGCAUCAUGGUACAGUCGGCAAGGAAACUAUGGUUCCCCUGUGGUUGUCAUUAUAGAUGAUAUGGAACGAUGUUGUGGUGCUGUCUUGUCUGAUUUCAUUCUUAUGUUGAGUGAAUGGGUUGUGAAGAUCCCAGUCAUCUUAAUAAUGGGCGUUGCAACAACUCUGGAUGCCCCUAGAAAAAUACUUUCUUCAAAUGUACUGCAGAAGUUGUGCCCUUGCAACUUCAAGUUGGGAUCGCCUGCUGAGAGGAUGGAUGCAGUUGUUGAGGCUGCUCUUGUCAGGCAGUGUUCUGGUUUUGCUGUUGGUCAUAAGGUGGCUGUUUUUCUGCGGAACUACUUCUUAAAUCAGGAUGGUACAUUGACAUCUUUUGUUAGAGCAUUGAAGAUAGCAUGUGUACAACAUUUUUCCACGGAGCCUUUAAGCUUCCUGCUUGGAUGGUUGCUUGUUAAAGAAGACAGUAAGGGAGUUCAGAGUGAGAAAGCGGUCAAGCUUGCUUCUGAGCUUUUAUCUCUUGCAAGGAAUCAAAUAGCUGAACAAACUGAAGUCACUAUAGUUCAUAGUUUGACAGAGUUGACGAAAUUGCAGAAGCUCUGGAGCACCGUUGUUCUGUGCUUAUAUGAAGCUGGGAAGUGUAACAAAACUCGAUUGAUAGACUUAUUUUGUGAGGCACUUGAUCCAGAUACUUACAACUUAUUGGCUUCUGAUGGUCUUACUGGAACUGGAAAAGGUUUUGUUCAAUCUUUGUCAAGUGAUCACUGUAUGCUUGAGCAGAACUUGAGCUACAGAAAGGGACGCCUUAUUUGCCAAUUAUUAGGUAGAGUGAGGGAUCUUCCUGCAGCAUUGCUUUGUCGGCUGCUGAAUGGUUGGAAAAAUCUCACUGUGGAUGUUCCUGAGAUUCAUGACAAGGUAAAGGAGCUACAGUCAAUAGUAAAAUUAGACGAAGGAAGUUGUAAACCAGAUUUGAAGGAGAUAUCCAGAAGACAUACAUCUCGGAGUCCCUUAAAGAUCGGUCAAUCACAAUCAAUAAAUGAAAAAGCCGCUAUACUAAUGGAUUGCAUGGUUAGGGAUUUCAUGAAGCCGAUUGAGUGUACAGCUUUUCACGAAAUUGUUUGCUAUAGAAAUGUUGAAAACCUUCAAUCGGCAUUAAUUGGAGACUCACGGAAAAUGAUUCAAGUUGAUCUUUUGGAGUUUCAUAAAACCCUACAAUGCAGUUGCUGCAGGAGGAGUGGCAACAUACCAUUGCCAUCAAUGCCUGAUACGUCUAUUAUGUACACCUUGGCUCAGGAGCAUGGCGAUCUUAUCAAUCUUCAUGACUGGUUCCAGUCUUUUAAAACCAUUGUCAUUCAGUACAGCAGAAAAGGGACAAGCAAACUGAAAAAGUCCCCACUUAAGAAAAGAAAGGAAAGGAAUGAAUCUGAAAACAAGAGUGAAGCAUCCAUUCAAGCCAGAUUUUGCAGGGCAAUCACAGAACUACAGAUUACAGGUCUCAUUCGGAUGCCCAGCAAAAAACGUCGUGAUUGUGUGCAGAGAGUGGCCUUUGGGCUGUGACAAGUAAUAGAAUUUUGGUUCGGUGGGCGCCCUUUUGGUUAGCGACUUGUUGAAGUUGUGUUUAUGCGGUUGGGUCGUUCCCUCUUGGCCGUUACAAGGCUACCAUGGUUGAAAACGUUCAAGUUUUACUAGUGGAAAGAAGUCAUUGGAGACCUUGCUUGACUCCGGUGGCGGUUCGGUGAUCCGACUCCGACAAUCGAUGACCGGAAUCCCUCGAUCGGUCAAUGGAAUCCGGCUACCGGACUGGUGAUCGGAUUCCGACGUCUGAAUUUAUUGCCCCCUAAUAAU